AUUGAACGCUGGCGGCAGGCUUAACACAUGCAAGUCGAACGAGUGGCGGACGGGUGAGUAAUGCUUGGGAAUCUAGCUUAUGGAGGGGGAUAACUACGGGAAACUGUCGCUAAUACCGCGUACCAUAGGAUGAGCCCAAGUGGGAUUAGGUAGUUGGGGAGGUAAAGGCUCACCAAGCCGACGAUCUCUAGCUGGUCUGAGAGGAUGACCAGCCACACGGGGACUGAGACACGGCCCAGACUCCGACGGGAGGCAGCAGUGGGGAAUAUUGCGCAAUGGGGGCAACCUGACGCAGCCAUGCCGCGUGAAGGAAGAAGGCCUUCGGGUUGUAAAGUUCUUUCGGUAGCGAGGCGUUAACUACAGAAGAAGCACCGGCUAACUCCGUGCCAGCCGCCGCGGUAAUAC
rnacentral:rRNA from 1 species